UGCAAGUCGGGCGAGAAGGGUUUGGUGCUUGCAUUGAACCUGGAAAGCGGCGAAAGGGAGAGUAACGCGUAGAUAUGUACCCUAGGGUCUGGGAUAGCGUCGGGAAACUGGCGGUAAUACCGGAUAAUGUCCCCGGACCAAAGGUCUACUGCCCUAGGAGCAGUCUGCGUCCUACUAGCUUGUUGGUGGGGUAAUGGCCUACCAAGGCAAUGAUGGGUAGCGGGCGUGAGAGCGUGACCCGUCUCACUGGGACUGAGACACUGCCCAGACACCUACGGGUGGCUGCAGUCGAGAAUCUUCCGCAAUGGACGAAAGUCUGACGGAGCGACGCCGCGUGCGGGAUGAAGGCCCUCGGGUUGUAAACCGCUGUCAGAGGGGAGGAAAUUUUGACCGAACCUCAGAGGAAGUCCGGGCUAAGUUCGUGCCAGCAGCCGCGGUAACACGAACCGGACAAACGUUAUUCGGAAUUACUGGGCUUAAAGAGUGCGUAGGCGGCCAUGUGGGUGGGGUGUGAAAGCCCACGGCUCAACCGUGGAAUAGCGCUCCAAACCACUUGGCUUGAGGGAGACAGGGGUAAGCGGAACUGAUGGUGGAGCGGUGAAAUGCGUUGAUAUCAUCAGGAACACCAGUGGCGAAGGCGGCUUACUGGGUCUCUACUGACGCUGAGGCACGAAAGCUAGGGUAGCGAACAGGAUUAGAUACCCUGGUAGUCCUAGCUGUAAAC
rnacentral:rRNA from 1 species